rnacentral:lncRNA from 1 species
UUUUUUAAGAAGUAAUUCAUAUCUACAUCAGUGCUGGUUUUUAAUGAAUUUUUCAAAUCAAUUUAGGAAAUGCAGGAAGCAAAGAAUAAAGGAUGUGCAAAUCGUUGAAGAGAAAAAGAUAGAUAUAUUUUUUUCUCCAUUGACUAGAAUAGCACGUGGUAGCAGGCAGGUAAUGAGGAGUGGCACAGACCUGGAGGUGCUUUAAUCUUCUUCCCUACAGUGUCAGAAGCAGCUCGUGCUGCCGUUGGGCUAUAAGAGGCACAAAACUUUGUGUUUUCUUCUUCUUCCUUUAGAAAUCUCCUUUGGUAAAAUUACAAACAGUUGGAAUUUUCUACUAUUCUGAUGUCUCUCCAGACAUGCAAAAACAUAUUCUGGAAUCUUGGACAUUAUCAUCUGUUUCCUGCUUUGGAAGGAAUGCGUUGCUGUGUUCAAGGGUGGUACUUACAGCACCUUACUUUGGUUGCGUUUGGAGAUGCUUCUAGACUGUGGUCUCAGAUGCCAGCAGGGGUGCUAGGACCUACAAACACGAUGUAGCCUUUACAAGAAGGUUUUAAGUUCAAAGUGCAAUAUGAAAAGGAGGAAGCUGCCAUCUUAAUAUGCUGGAGUGAGAAUAAAGUGUAAACUCUGACUGCUCCUAUCUUUUGGAGUCAGAGCU